rnacentral:rRNA from 1 species
AAUAUUGGUCAAUGGGUGGAAGCCUGAACCAGCCAUGCCGCGUGCAGGAAGACGACCAUCUGGGUAGUAAACUGUUCUUGCCAGGGGAUAAAAGGCGCAUGCUUGGGACAUGGCAUGUACAGGCCGAAUAAGCCACGGCUAACUACUGGCCAGCCGUCGCGGUAAGACGUAGGUGGCGAGCGUUGUCCGGAUUUAUUGUGUUUAAAGGGUGCGUAGGCGUCCUGAAAAGUUUUAGGUGAAAUGCCCAGGCUCAACCUGGGAGCUGCCUGAAAAACUGUUGGGAUUGAGUACAGACGAGGUAGGCGGAAUUGACGGUGUAGCGGUGAAAUGCAUAGAUAUCGUCAGGAACACCGAUAGCGUAGGCAGCUUACUAGACUGUAACUGACGCUGAGGCACGAAAGUGUGGGGAUCAAACAGG